UAUACCGCAUCUAUGUACCCAAUUAUCUUAUCUCAACUAUGCUUUACCGCCUUAGUAUUGCUUUAUAAGUUUGUUACUGUGAAGAAUACAUUAUAUUAAUUAUUAAAAACUUUUGUGUGGCAGCAUCACUCUCCUCUUCAGCGGGCAUUUGCAGAAAUGCGGCGGACAUUCAUACUGGUAACGUGGCUUCAUCGUCAUUUACUCGCACGGGGGCAUGCAGAAACGAACCCGAAAUUCAUAAAGUGAAUGUGUCUGCAACACCAACUUCGUCUGGUACUCGCACGUUUUGAACAAUGGGACGACAACAUUUAACUCCAUUCCCAAAGAGUUACAGUGUGUGAUGGUUUACAAAUGUAUACCUUAUUUUUUAAUAUUUGGAAGUAUUUUUAGAUGCACACCAAACUUUCACAGCUGACAUUUAGAAUCCUUUUCUUUUAAUUAGAGCCAUAUUGUACUGGUCAUAUAGAAUAUUGUUACAUGUAUACAUAUUGUUACUUUAUUAUUUAUAAUUACAAUGAAGCUUCUUCAUUUAUAAUUACAAUAAAGCUUCUUAAAUCUA